ACACAGCUGCUAGCAACACAGGAGCUGCCCAGAGAAAAAGAAGUUCCUUCUUCAAAACCAGAAGACCACCCACGAGUCGUCCACGUGACCAGGAACCUGAGUGGGAUUCCUGGGAAGAGGCCUCCAGGGCUGGAGGCAUAGGCCAGGCUGUCGAGGGAAGCAAGGAAGCAUCACAGAUUAAGAGCUAGUCUGAAGCAAGAAAGUGGCUGCAAAAUUGAAUGACUUCUUUCUUUGCCCCAUUUGAGCAAUGCCUCCCUCCUCCUCAGGCUCCCAUGUCUGCACCCCAGGUCCCUGCAAUCUUCCCAUUUCCUGCAUUUUCGUGCGAAGGAGCAUUCAGGAGACCAGCAACAAGGGUUUUAUUCAACUUGAUCAUCUCCUCAAAAAAAAAAAGAAAGAAAGAGAAAAAAAGAUGAAGAACAAAAGUUGGGAGAGGCCAGACUAAGUGGAUAUGAUCUGAAUGCAUAUUUGUGUUACAACUCAUACAACCAGCAUCAGAGAGGGACCAAGAUCAAAUAAAUGGUAAAACCUGACAAAGAGAAGAAUAGAUGGUAUGUGGAGCCAUCUGUUUUGGAGGACACCCAAAUCUGUCUGAAUCUGCGAGGCCAAACUACCAGCUAUUCUAAGACGCCCCAUUCCAAGAGUGGCCUAAUGCGUAUCUACACAAUCAGUUUCUCUCACCAUCACUUUGGCUGCAACUUUUUUGUGCAAUUAAGUAAUUUAUUCCUUUCUUCAGCCUCCUGAUUCUAAUGAAUCCGAGCCACAAACAAGCCUCAGUUGCUCCUAUUCAAGGAGUCUGAUUGCAUCUGGCAGUGAUUGCUGAAAAUCCUGAAGAGGAAACAGGGAAGGGAAGCAUAUUGUUUGGGGGGGUAAUAGGUGAAGACCUGCCUCUCUUGACCUAUAAUACAUUAGUGUCAGUGAACAUUUGGCAGCCUUCAGAUGAUUAGCAAUGAAGAUGAAUCAAGCAAAAAAGAGGUAGAAACCUGCCUCAUCUGAAUCACCAGAACUGCAUACAUUUGCAUGCUGAUUAGCUGUUCUUUUGUCUGUGUUCCUAAUUAUUAUGACACAUUAUGUCUUCAUCAGGCAAGAUUCUGAUCUGUCUUGUUCAAAAUGCAUGUAGAAAAAAGUGCUGUUUAUUGAUUCAACAUGUAACUUUUAUUUUUAUGUUUGCUUUAAUUAAAUACAUAUUUGAUUGCCUUUGACUGCUGUCCUUUUUUUUUUUUUUUUUGCUCUUAUUUAUUUCAUCUUGUUGACAAACACACAGGUAACCUUCUUUUAUCAUUCUCAGAUCAUUUGGUGCCCACUGUCUCUUCCCUCUCUGGCUCCCUCUCUCUCUUUCUAAGGUGCUCACUUUCAUUUUCUCGAAGAGGCAAAACAAAGGAGGAAAAGAAAACAAAACAGCAUCUCUAGUAAAGAGGGAGGAGCCAAGGGCAGGAGGGCACACAGGUGAUGCCCAGAGGACGGAGAGAACACAACUCAGGACUUAGUAGAAGAGAAACGUUCCUGACUUCGAAGAAAGGUUUUCCCGAGGACCAUGGGCAGCAGAAGGAGGGUAGAAAUAACACGAUCCUGAGAAAGAAGGAGACCCUCUGUCAUUCCCAGUUGUCUUCACAUGUUACUGACUGUGAGGAUUUGAGAAGAGAGUGUGAAAAUGCCUGUCCUGUGGGUCAAGCCUCCCUUUUUCCCAUCUGGCCAAUGACUUUGAUGGAUAUCUAGAAAAGGAGGGAAAAU